CUGUAUAAAAUACAUAUGCCACAUUGCGUGAAAUAUAUACAUAUAUAAUUGUGUGUGUGUAUUACGUUCACACGUAUAUAUAUAUACACUGUAUAUGAUAAUAUUAACGCAUAUGACGGUUCCGUGAUAUUAGCGUUUAACACGGUUUGUAUCGCGGUCCGUUUAAAUAUUGUCUAACGACACACGUUGAUUAUAAUUUAUAUAUCAUACGACAAUGUUAGAGAUUAUUAUAAUAUUUGUCGAACGAUCGACGGUGUUACCGCUGACGCGCCUUACGGCGUAACGCGGGGACGCUUUCGACUCUUCGAGUUAGUUUGUUAGUGUGUUUUAUGUAACAAUAUCACACACGAUACAUAUACGCGAGAGGGUUGAUGGCGUGUGCAUGUUUAUUUGUAAAAAAAUAAACAAGUUCAACACCGUUCACAUGUCGCGAGACACAUAAAUAUUAUCAAUCUCUAUAUAACAAUUGACGUAUACUAAAAGAUAUGUAUGCCUUGAAUCAUCGACAGUAGGCGGACUCGACGUCCGAAGAGCGCAUCGACGCCGUCGUCGUUAUCGAUCGUUAUUAUUGUAAAAGAUGUAACGUGUCGUAGCGGUUGCGUCGUCGUAACGCUGACGGAUAUCGCGUCUGCCUCAUUUUUUUAUCGUUGGCCUCAGAUCAGGGAGGAUCACCCGCCGAAUUUAAGCAUAUUAGUAAGCGGAGGAAAAGAAACUAACUAGGAUUUCCUUAGUAGCGGCGAGCGAACAGGAAAGAAGCCCAGCACUGAAUCCCGCCGUUGUUCAGGCGGCGGGAGAUGUGGUGUUCGGGAGGUUCCGCUUUCUCGUCGCGAUCGCUCCUGUCCAAGUUCGUCUUGAACGGGGCCGUUUUCCCGUAGAGGGUGCCAGGCCCGUAGCGACGGAGGAUCGCGGCGAGAGGGACUCUCCUUAGAGUCGGGUUGCUUGAGAGUGCAGCCCUAAGUGGGUGGUAA
rnacentral:sRNA from 1 species